AUUGAACGCUGGCGGCAGGCCUAACACAUGCAAGUCGAGCGCGAAAGUUCUUCGGAAUGAGUAAAGCGGCGGACGGGUGAGUAAUACAUGGGAAUCUGCCUGGUAGUGGGGGACAACGUUUCGAAAGGAACGCUAAUACCGCAUACGCCCUACCGGGGGAAAGGGGGGGGAAGGUCUUCGGACCUCUCGCUAUCAGAUGA
rnacentral:rRNA from 1 species